AGUGAACGCUGGCGGUAGGCCUAACACAUGCAAGUCGAACGGCAGCACAGUAAGAGCUUGCUCUUACGGGUGGCGAGUGGCGGACGGGUGAGGAAUACAUCGGAAUCUACUUUUUCGUGGGGGAUAACGUAGGGAAACUUACGCUAAUAACGCAUACGACCUACGGGUGAAAGCAGGGGAUCUUCGGACCUUGCGCGAUUGAAUGAGCCGAUGUCGGAUUAGCUAGUUGGCGGGGUAAAGGCCCACCAAGGCGACGAUCCGUAGCUGGUCUGAGAGGAUGAUCAGCCACACUGGAACUGAGACACGGUCCAGACUCCUACGGGAGGCAGCAGUGGAGAAUAUUGGACAAUGGGCGCAAGCCUGAUCCAGCCAUACCGCGUGGGUGAAGAAGGCCUUCGGGUUGUAAAGCCCUUUUGUUGGGAAAGAAAAGCAGCACGUUAAUACCCCGCUGUUCUGACGGUACCAAAAGAAUAAGCACCGGCUAACUUCGUG
rnacentral:rRNA from 1 species